rnacentral:rRNA from 1 species
UACAGAGGUCUCAAGCGUUGUUCGGAAUCACUGGGCGUAAAGGGUGCGUAGGUGGCGUGGUAAGUCAGAUGUGAAAGCCCGAGGCUCAACCUCGGAAUUGCAUCCGAUACUACCAUGCUAGAGUACUGGAGAGGAGAUUGGGAUUUACGGUGUAGCAGUGAAAUGCGUAGAUAUCGUAAGGAAGACCAGUGGCGAAGGCGGAUCUCUGGACAGGUUACUGACACUGAGGCACGAAGGCCAGGGGAGACAA